UCUGUUUGGCAGCUUGAGAGCCUCUGAUGGAAGGUGGGAAAACAAUUUUUCUCAUCCUUUUUGCACCAAAAUAAUUCCCAGGACAAUAUUCAACUAAAGCCAGGAUCUCACUAGAGCCCUUUUCACUUAGCAGUAUAAAAAGAGGGCAGGUUGGCUGUAAUCCCCUGCCUCGUGCCCUGCAGGGAAAGGGCUGAAGGCAGAGCCUUGGGUUGGACGGUGCCGAGGAAGGGAAGGAGCGUGGGGGUUCUCUUCUUCCUCUGCUGUGUACAAUAAACUAAUGUCCUUCUUUCUUUUUUUCUACUCUAUAGAACUGUGUUUGGGGAAAUCAAGAACUGAACAGAUCCUUUUUUAUUUCCACUCAUUUUCAGGGCCUGAAGGAUGAUCUUGUGGUUUAAGCAUUUGGACUGGAACCAAGAGAUGCGAGAUAAAUUCCAGGCUCUGUUGUGCACUUCCUCUGCCGGCUUCUGAACGUCGCUCCUUCUCUUCCCAUCCCUGCCUGUAAAACGUCACUCCCUGCUCUCACCAUUUCAGUAGCCAACUCCCAAUACUGAAAGCUCCCGAUCCAUGACACAGGUAAUUUUUUUAAAAGUCUUAAUUUUAGGGUCAAAAUAGCGCUCUAGCCCCACGCCAGGGGGAAAACAUUUAAAAUUUAAAAGUAAGGAGACAAAAGCUCUGACAAGUUUGAAGGACACGAGGAUUGAUGUUAUUUACUAAGGUGGAUGACAGUGAAAAAGAGCCUGGUUCAGAGUAGUUGAGGGGCAGCAACACUGGGAAAUGAAGGUAGGGUACAUUUUUCCUGUGGGUUCAGUGAGAUGCCCAAGGAAUGAAUGUCCAUGAGCAACACUAAGAGGCUGGCCAAGAAGAAUCAAUUCUGCAUGCCUAUACAGCUGUGUUUUAAUGAGUUUCAAAUGUAGCAGUUCCGAUUAUUGGAAUCCACUUACUCAGAGAAGGACUUGGCAAAUGACAGUCA
rnacentral:lncRNA from 1 species